AUGAACGCUGGCGGCGUGGAUAAGGCAUGCAAGUCGAACGGUUUUCUUUAUUGAAGAAGAUGCGAUUACAUCAAAUUAACAGAUAUUUUGAAAACAGUGGCGAACGAGCUAGUAACACUUUGGUACGUACCCGAAAGUUUGGUAUAGCUCGCCGAAAGGCGGGGUAAUCCCAAAUAGUCCCUUCAUCUAUCGGAUGAUAGGGUAAAGUAGCAAUACGCUUUCGGAUCGGCCUAGGUCCGAUCAGUUAGUUGGUGAGGUAAUGGCUCACCAAGACAAUGACCGGUAGGGG
rnacentral:rRNA from 1 species